rnacentral:rRNA from 1 species
UACGGAGGGUCCAAGCGUUAUCCGGAAUCAUUGGGUUUAAAGGGUCCGUAGGCGGUCAGGUAAGUCAGUGGUGAAAGCCCAUCGCUCAACGGUGGAACGGCCAUUGAUACUGCCCUGACUUGAAUUACUGGGAAGUAACUAGAAUAUGUAGUGUAGCGGUGAAAAUGCUUAGAUAUUACAUGGAAUACCAAUUGCGAAGGCAGGUUACUACCAGUUUAUUGACGCUGAUGGACGAAAGCGUGGGGGAGCGAACAGGA